GUCUGCAGCCAUAUCACCAUGAAUAAGCUUGAUCCUGUCUGAUCUUGGAAGCUAAGCAGGGUCUGGCCUGGCUAGUUCUUGGAUGGGGACCAUCUAUAAAAUAACACAACUUCCAAUU
rnacentral:rRNA from 1 species